UCCUCAUGGAUACUAUCUGGGUUUGCUACUGCUGAGCCACAAUGGGAACUCCCAAACUGUCAGUUUUAAGUGAUGUCCAAGAAGAAAAGAGGAAACAGGAAAUUGAGGGGAAAUGUGGACCGGUGUCAAAUCAAUGUUCUAACCACCCAUGUCCAGUAGUUCCAUCAGAGAAAGGACAACACCCUACAAAGUGGAAUUUGCCUGGUAUUGACCAUCAGUGAAGUAAACCCAAGUUCACAGCCAUCAGGAGGAGCCCACAGAGCUGAGAAAGGACUGCAAGGGAGACAUCCACAAACACUCUGAAUCUUUGGGAUAAGAUGAUCCUGAGCCUAAAUUCCUGGUCUUCUAAGUAGAAAAAGGAAACUAUCAGGAUGGUGGUACCUGGGAGGAUGAAAUAAGGCCAAGAUGCAAAAUGAGUGGCUAAAUGGUGAGAACAGGGUGAGCCUCAGAAGAUGAGGGAAGAAUAAUACAGCUGAAAACAACUUCCUGUGGUUGAGCUGUGGUGUAGUUUGCAGACGAGGCACGGAUCUGGCAUUGCUGUGGCUGCGAUGUAGGCUGGCAGCAGCAGCUCCUAUUCGACCCCUAGCCUGGGGACUUCUAUAUGCUGCAGGAGUGGCUGUUAAAAAAAAAAAAAAAAAAAAAGUUGAAAAGAUGAUGGUUGCCCUGAUCUGAGGAAGGAGGGCAACUUCUAAGAGCUGGAAAAGGCAGGAAACAGCUUCUUCUCAAGAGUUUUGAGAAAGGAAUGCCACCUUGCCAACAUCUUGAUUUUAGCCCAUUGAGAAAGGGGUCAGACUUCUAACCUCUUGGACUGUGAGGUAACAAAUCUGUGUUGUUUCAAGCUGCUAAAUUGGUGGUAAUUUGCUACCAUAUCCAUAGAAAGCAAAUAACUGUAGACUUGGUCAACCCCCAGUGCGUGCUGACCGUGGUGGAAGAUGCAAAGGAUGCAUUGUGGGUAAGCAGCGCUUCUGGUUGGCUAUUCUCAAUGCAGAAGGACUGAGUGACAGACCCUCCAAGAUGUCCCAGGGAAAAGGUCAUUGUAACUCCCCACCCAUGAGAGCCCCAGACGGUGGGGCUCUCUGGGACAAAUGCUCAAGUCCUAAACUGUUCCAGAGGUUAAAAACUGCCACUCUAGAAGCCCGAUUCAGCAAUCUGACUCUGUCCCUUGUAUAGAGAAUUUUUAAAAAAUUUGAAUUCGUGGCCAACAUUUAAAGAUUCCACCUAAGCAUCAAGAUUUCUGAAUUUUCUUGGGAAAAAAAAAAUCAGAAAAUAUUGCCAUACUUGGUUCUCACGGGAGUAGAGGUGUGGCUGUCCCUUUAGAUCGAGCAUGCUCACUCACACUGCUGUCUCCAUCCCUGUCACUGGACUGUCACUUACCCUCUCUGUGUAACCCUAUCACUUAGCCCUGUGGGCACCAGUGUGUAACUCCUGGUACUCUGCCCAUGUACAAUACACACUUCAGAACUGGCCUAACCAGGGAAAGCUCAUAAGGGUAUCAAGCCGGUUUCAGUACUUUAUCAUGUAUGAUAGCAAAGAAUGCCUAUGUUGAUUUCAGCAGAAAAAAAAUCUCGAAGGUGAAACAGUUUGGUUCAUUUCUCCACUCCUUCCAAAUUCUUAGCCUAAGCAGUACCAAGAAAUACCAGCAUUUGGUGCCUGAUAAGGUAUUUUCAGGCCUAAUUAUGUCUUUGAUUCUGCUCAGCCAAAGUUUGGCUUCUUUAAGCAUUUCUAUAAAUCUGACUUCCACAGAUAAGCAGGGAAUUUUCAAAAGGAUAUAAAUCAAUCUGGGGCCCUUUCAAGAUGGUGGAUGAUGCACUCAAACAGAAUGUCAAACGGUUGGACAGCAUUUUCCUGUGUGCACGGCCAAGGUUGAGAGAAAUCCCUGGGCACUUUCAGGAGAUUAAAAACACGCAAGCUCUGACAUCAGCUGCAACAUGACCUGCUCUUGCAAAAUGCACUCAGGAAUCCUGACGCGUUAAUUGUUAUGUUUGGCUUUAUGACCGACGUAUCUUUUUACUCAUAUCUGAAUGCCGAUGGUUACAGCCCCAAAUUUUCUGAAAAGUGAUAUCUUACAAGCUCACACUUGCAAUGGCUCCAAACAGUGAUGGAAGGUCAUAGAUACAGGACCAAGAGAGACAGUGAGCUCUAUGAAGACGAGACUUUGUCUGGAUUAAAGAUCAGUUCACUUCUGAGUUCCCGGAGUUUAUCACGACCUGCCUAAAGAUGGCCUUGGUUGACUGAAUGAAUGAAGCCAAACUAGGUGCUCUUGCAAAUCCUGUUCCUCAUACUCUGUCUUGGUGGCAAGUGGGUUCAAUAGAUGACUUCCUGCGGUGAGAGGCUAAGAGAGUGGGAGGAAUGUCAUUUUUCAGUCGACAGAAAUAAGAGAGACCGCCCUGGCUGCCAUGUUGAGACUAGCUUGCCAUGGAUAAGAGAAGAAUCAAGAAGACCAGGUAAGAAGCAAUCGAGGUGCUUCUGGUGUGAGGUGCUUCUGGUGUAAAGUGCUUAGCUGGGGUGGCAGCAGAGAAAGGGGUGGGAGUGGUCAGCCUGAGUCCACUCUGGCACAUGGCACUGACGGAGCUUGCUGAUGGUGGGAGGUGGGUGUGAGGGGAAGAGAGGAGACAAAGAUGAAGUCAUCCAAGGACUAGUGGGCUGAGCAAUGGGAAGGGUGGAGUUGCCAUCCACUGAGUUUGUAUUUCUCUGUUUCUGGAACUCAGUGGUAAACUUCUGGCAGACAGGAACCAGCGUCUUGUGUAUUCUGUAACCUUCAUACAAACAUGAUCAAAAUUAUGCUAAAUGUAAAAUGAAGUUUAAAGUUCCCCUUAUAGGGUCUUUUCUGGCCCACAGAGGGGUCUCAACGUUGACCUUGGGGCCAGCCAACCAAUGAUCGCUCUCCUUUCCAUGCUGUGUGGAACCCACUUGCUCCUCUGGUGGUGACUUUUGGAUGGCCACGGGGGUAGGUUUCUGCCUAUCUAGUCAAACUAUUAUUUAACCCUUCAUAUGGGUCCAGGUACUUUCCUGAACAGGAGAAUUUCUAGAGAGAGGGAUGGAGGCGGAGGGUGGGAAAUCAGCUCUCAUCCCCUUUAACCAUCUUGUUCUCUUCUUGCUGCAAGACUCCAACAAGGUGAACUUAACCCAGAGGAUACAAGGAAAACAUUUUUGAAGCUUUUUAUAGGGCCGGUUCAGUAAUGUAAAUGUCUGCUUCUGUCCAGGGAUAAACAAUAGGGAGUAAUUGGUACCGAUGCAGCAAACCAGAGUCCCAGGCAAUUGCUGCUGUGUAGAACUGGAGGUGCAAUAAACCAGGCAUGUGUGUGAGCCUAUUGCAGCCCAGGAACCCCUCCUUCCCCAGCCCUGGCCUGAGCAUCAGAGAAGUCCCUUUAAGACCUUCCCUUUCUUCUCAUUGUCCUGUUCUUCCCAGAGUCCUCUCUUGGAUCCAUUCAUUGUUGGUGCUCCUUAUGCACCAUCCUGCAUUAUUUCCACAUUCUUACACCCCCUUAAGAAGUACCUGGGUCCUAGAUACUUUCAAGCCUCUAUGUCUUGCCAACUGUUUCUGUAAGUGCUGCAGGUGUUUGUCUAUUGCUAUCAAGUGCAUACCGUAAGUUAAAGAUACUUUAUUGCUACAAAAUGUUAACCAUCAUCUGAGCCUUCAGCAAGUUACAGUAGUAAUAUCAAUGAUCGCUGAUCACAGAUCACCUUAGCAAAUAUAAUAAUAAUGAAAAAGUUUGAGAAUUACCGAAAUGUAACACAGAGACACCUAGCGAGCCACUGCUGUAGGAAAAAAUGGCACUAAUAAACUCGCUGGAUGCCACAGCGUUGCCAUAAACCUUCAAUUUAUAAAAUUCAAUAUUGUCAAAGUGUAAUAAAAUGAGGUAUGCCUGUAUUUCAACAGUGCUUCUCCUUUAGGGUCUUUCCUUGUAAAUUACUGAAACCUCUAGGGGUUCAACCCAAAGGUUCUCACUUAGAUUAUUUACAUAAAGAUGUUCAUAAUCCCAUGGAAUAACAAAUCUUUAUUACAAAAUUGAGUCUCGUGUUUAGGAAUCUUUGGAGAAGGAAGUUUAAAUACCAAGAAAGAUAUAUUAAGAAAUAAAUUGUGGGAAGAUCGAGGGAAAUUGAGGGGAAAAAAAUCCACUGAUGAGCAUAUUUCAAUAGAGCUUUGACCUACUGGUAGCUCAUCUCUGCACAGCCUCUUCCCAUAGCCCUUCCUACAUGAGCGCCUCCUCCAGGAAGUGGGGCUGUUUGUUAUCAAGCACGUCCAUGUGUUCUUUCUCAGUAAACCAAAAGAUUUCCAAUUUAUCGGAGGGAUUUCAACUCUAGCAAAAUGUUCAGUGUCCCCAAAGCUAUUCAAUACUCUUCAUUAUUCUUAUAACGAUCAGUAGAACACCCUCAUUUAUGUUUAUAUUUUUCCAAAGAUAAAAAUUGGAGCAAUUGGAGGAGGGGGAGAGAUUCAUGGAUACAAAUGGCUUGAUCUUUUCACCUGUUUCACUGGCUCUUUUUUUGAAUGUUGACUUAAUUUUAUACAUCUAGGUAUUCCCACUUCACCCAUUUUGUGGGUGCUUCAGGUGGCCCAAAUAGGAAGGGCCUAUUUAUCGAUUUUUUCUUCUGUGAAUGUGGCCACUGUCCUCUUAGCCUGUGAACAUAAGGUCUGCCGUCCUCUUGCUCUUACUGGUGGGGCAUGGGGGAGGGGUUGUACCCUGAAGAGGCAAAAAUCAUUUCAAAUCCCCUGAAGACCAAAAUAUCAAGAAUUAGAGGGCAAUGUAAUGGCUGGGAGAGGGAAGAAAGGACAGAAGCAAAUAGUUGACAGGUCUCUAAAAUUUUAAUUUUCAGCCCAAAGAAUUUCUUGAAAGGCACCUUUGAGGGGGAGGGCUCAUUGAUUUUCUUUUCUUUUUUUUUGACUUUUUAGGGCCGCACAUGUGGUAUAUGGAAGUUCCCAGACUAGGGGUGGAAUCAGAACUGUAGCUGCUUGCCUACAACCACAGUCAAGCAAUGCCAGAUCCAAACUGUGUCUGUGACCUACACGGCAAUUCACAGCAACACUGGAUCCUUAACCCACUGAGCGAGGCCAGGGAUCGAACCCAUAUCCUCAUGGAUCCUAGUUGGCUUCAUUACUGCUGAGCUUCAAAGGACACUCUCACUGAUUUUUUAAAAAUUUCCGUAGUUUCUUUCCAAGUCCUGCUUCUGUGACUGCUGCUGGAUGUCAACUCACAAGCGCAAAAGAGGUCACCAAGGUUCCCAAGGCUUUUCAGAGAACAAAAGGGAACCUGCUUCACACUGAUAAAUGACUUGCCUUAGCACCUGUAAGUCUGUUUCACAUUUCACGUCAACCUUUCUUCAUGGGCUGAUAACAGCAACUGAAAAUGAAUCCUGACAGCCUGUUGUGAUUUCACAGUAUCCAGCAGGAAAGCCCAGCUUAAUUGUGAGCAUAUGAUUUUUUUUCUUUCAAGCACUGAAUUUUCUAUUGAGUCCACUGCUCUGAUAAAAUCUACUUAUUUAGCAGUUGCUAAUCAUUGGGGCAUUCAUUCUUUUUCUCCCAUGAUUCUAGCAAGUUGGAGUUUGCUUUCUAACAAGCCACUGAACUGCUCCAAGAAAAAAAAAAAAAGCUGUUGGAAUACCAAACAAAGGCCCCUGUGCUGCAGUCUUGCAGGAAGGCAAUUCCAGUGGUGUCUAGUUUCAGGCCAGAAUACGAAGGUCAUAAUUUCAGGCCAUCGAUGGCUCUCCCAGAUGUCUUUGGUCAAGUUAAUCACAGUUUGCCUGAAGGUUGAGUUUUCAGGUAAUCCAUCCUGGUGUAAUUGUAAACCAAGAGCUCCUUCUAGCUGAAAGUUGGGAGUUUUUAGCUCAGCCUCAGCCUGGGGACAGUUCCCACAGGGCCCCUAGCCUCUAUCUUUUUAGUUUUGCCACUGAAGCUGGUUCAGACUCUGGCACAAAUGUUGGAAGAAACUCAAGAAGUUACAUAUCAAGGGAGCACGUGAAUAUACCAUGUCAGCAGGAACAGACCCAAAGUUCUGAGGGCUCAGUGAGACUUAGCCCUGCCUUGGUCUCUCUACAACCCAAGGUGUUCAUCCUAAAUGAUACAGAAUGGACGCCCCCAGGAGAGUCCUCAGCCAACCCCACCAGGGAGCCCGCUGACUGCUCUUGUUGCUGAAGAUGAAAAGGCACAUCUUGUUCCCUUGGGCUUUCCUUCCUCCCCCUCCCCCCACAGCCCUUCUUAAGACAGUGUCAUUUUUAUCCAGCCUGAAGUUAAUCUUUUCCUUGAUUCACAUUUAAUUCCUAUUUAGAUGAGAAAACCUGACAUUGAAGAAAUAAACUCUACUCUACCCUGGAGUGUUUCUGUCCUUAUUGCUCAAAAUGCUACUCAUUGGAAUCUGAUAAAAUAUAUACAAAAAUGUUAUUCACAUGCACAAAUACAAACAUACCUUUUAUUGUAUGUUCAGGAUACACAUCAUUUCAUAAAUCAUGUGCUAUUACUAUCCUUUUUUUAACAGUUGAGGAAAUAUUAAGUUUAAAUAAAACAUUGUCUAAACCACCUAGGUGACCAUCAACAGAUGCAUGGAUAAAGAAGAUGCAUAUACUAUUCACAAUAGCCAAGACAUGGAA